CACUAUGAAGCUAGUAGCGCUAACCUUUUAAGUUAGAGAUAGAAGCCCCACACUUCCAUGGUGA
rnacentral:tRNA from 1 species